UACGGAGGGUGCAAGCGUUAUCCGGAUUCACUGGGUUUAAAGGGUGCGUAGGAGGGCAGGUAAGUCAGUGGUGAAAUCUCCAAGCUUAACUUGGAAACUGCCGUUGAUACUAUCUGUCUCGAAUACCGUGGAGGUGAGCGGAAUAUGUCAUGUAGCGGUGAAAUGCUUAGAUAUGACAUAGAACACCAAUUGCGAAGGCAGCUUACUACACAACGAUUGACGCUGAGGCACGAAAGCGUGGGGAUCAAACAGG
rnacentral:rRNA from 1 species